rnacentral:rRNA from 1 species
AGUUUAAGGAAAUAAUCUUAAAUGUAUUCUGCCCAGUGAUUAUUAUUAAAUGGCCGCAGUACCUUGACUGUGCUAAGGUAGCAUAAUCAAUUGGCUUCUAAUUAAAGUCUGGAAUGAAAGGAAAAAUGAAGUAAUUCUGUCUUAAAGAAUUUUUUUUGAAUUUAUUUAAAUGAUGAAAAUAUCAUUUUUUUAGAAAAAAGACGAGAAGACCCUUAGAGUUUUCAAUUUUUUUUUGUUGGGGCGACAAGUAAACAAUUAAACUUUACAAUAAUUAUAAAUCGAUUUUUUAUAAGAAUAAUUAAACUACCUUAGGGAUAACAGCAUUAUAUAUUUUUUUAUGAUUGUGACCUCGAUGUUGGACUAGGAACUUUAUGGCUAGCCGUCAAAAAAGAUUUGUUCUGUUCGAACAAUAUUAUCCUAC